rnacentral:rRNA from 1 species
CCUACGGGGGGCUGCAGUAAGGAAUCUUCCGCAAUGGGCGCAAGCCUGACGGAGCAAUGCCGCGUGUAGGAUGAAGCGUCUCUGACGUGUAAACUACUGUCAGGGGUCGGAACCAACGAUUGACCCCAGAGGAAGUGGCGACUAACUCUGUGCCAGCAGUCGCGGUAAUACAGAGGCCACAAGCGUUAUUCGGAAUCACUGGGCUUAAAGGGUGCGUAGGCGGGUCCGUAAGUGCUUUGUGAAAUCCCUCGGCUCAACCGGGGAAUUGCAGGGCAUACUGCGGGUCUUGAGGAAGGUAGGGGUCGCGAGAACAGUAGGUGGAGCGGUGAAAUGCGUAGAUAUCUACUGGAAUGCCGAUGGUGAAGACGCGCGACUGGGCCUUUCCUGACGCUGAGGCACGAAAGCGUGGGGAGCAAACAGGCUUAGAUACCCUUGUAGUC